rnacentral:rRNA from 1 species
AGUGAACGCUGGCGGUAGGCCUAACACAUGCAAGUCGAACGGCAGCACAGUAAGAGCUUGCUCUUACGGGUGGCGAGUGGCGGACGGGUGAGGAAUACAUCGGAAUCUACUUUUUCGUGGGGGAUAACGUAGGGAAACUUACGCUAAUACCGCAUACGACCUACGGGUGAAAGCAGGGGAUCUUCGGACCUUGCGCGAUUGAAUGAGCCGAUGUCGGAUUAGCUAGUUGGCGGGGUAAAGGCCCACCAAGGCGACGAUCCGUAGCUGGUCUGAGAGGAUGAUCAGCCACCUUGGAACUGAGACACGGUCCAGACUCCUACGGGAGGCAGCAGUGGGGAAUAUUGGACAAUGGGCGCAAGCCUGAUCCAGCCAUACCGCGUGGGUGAAGAAGGCCUUCGGGUUGUAAAGCCCUUUUGUUGGGAAAGAAAAGCAGCAGGUUAAUACCCCGCUGUUCUGACGGUACCCAAAGAAUAAGCACCGGCUAACUUCGUG